GAGAGAAGCGUCUGCUCAGUCCGCAUUCGUCAUUUGAGGCAUUCAGACGAAAUUCUACACCAGUUUCCGAAGUAGAGCGACAGCAUUAAGAAGGAGUAACCCAUAGCAACCACGGGCCUCAAAUUGCUCGAUGCAUUUCGCUUUCUCAAUCUGCGCAUCUAUAAAUAGUAGCUGCCAGGUCUAAAUUUUCAAGGGACUCUUCACUUCCAGGUUCCGGCUGUCUGAUCCAGUUUACCAAUCUUCAAUCCACAGGUACCAAUGCUGUUCUAAAAAACAGAUAGUGCUAUUAAACUUGCCAACAUAUUCUAUCCUUUUAGCAGUGGUUCAAUUGAUUCCAAUAAAGUAAAACAGAAUGAAUAUCCCUCCAGUUUGCUCAAUCAGGAAUGUUGCAUCACUGAGAGAAAUCACACUUGUUUCUGGGGCAAUUUUAAUAUCAGACUUGGAUAAAAUUAAGCAUAAGGUCGAAGAAUUGCACAGACACAUGAAUUUCGAAAUUGCAAAUCCUGAAGCUCAGUCGAGUAUGACAACUUAUCCAAUUAUUACAGAAACAUCUAAAUACGAGGCUGAAGAUAAACUAAGGGAUAUCUGCAUCCCUGCAACACUUAAAAAAGAACUUGCCGAAUGUGUUUACACAAUUUCUUCCGAAAUCUUCAACUUCUAUAUCAUAAACUUUGACCUUAUGCAUGAAGCAUCGAGCUUGAAGGAUUUCAUUGUCUUCAACCCUGACGGAUCGAUAAAUCAUUGGAAGAGCCAUCAGCGUAUCAUAAGGGAAACUAAUCUGAGUUCCCGAAUAAGAUUUGCCAGCGCUUGCCAGUUUUAUUCCCUAGACGAGCUUAUGGCGAUCUGGAAUGAAGUGGUGGGACCUGAGGUUUUCGGGAAUAUUUAGUUCCUAUUAUGGCAGUUAGAAGUCCCUACUUGUAUUGCUGUGGGAAACAUUUACAUUCUCUUAAAAGCAGAAAAUAAAGAUGGGCACACUCUUGUCAUUUUUGUUUUUUUACUGCUAGCUAAAGCAGUCCAGUUAUAAAACUGAGUUUCAUUUUUGAUUCCACAGAGCAACUUAAAAAUUAUAAAAAUUAUAUUCACCGAAAGACUUAAUAACAUUUUUAUAAUGGAACAACGUUGCCAUGUCAUCAACACAUAGACUCUUGAUGAAACUAUCGAAAUUAAAGACAAAUUUGAGCAGAUUUUGUGGAUAUUUUCUUUAAUUAAGCAAGAAAUUAUAUUAUAGCACAAAUAUAAUGGUGCUGAAAACUUUAAUUGCUACUUAACAAGACAUGCGUUAAAUGACUUGAUUACAUUUUUAUAAAAGUAUACAUGUCAGGAUAUUGCAAUAGACUAUUCCGGUGUAUAUGCUAUGGACUAUUUCCAUAAUUAAGCAAGAAAUUAUAGGUCUGCACAAAUGUAAUGACGCAGAGAACAUUCUUGCUUUUCUCACCACUCAGUAACUGUGAAAUUCUUUUGAUUAAAGGGAAAAAUCUCAAGCAGUAGAAUACUGUUUAACGUGACAUUCUGUAUAUGACUUGAAUACAUUUUUUUCAAUGCAAACAUCCUGCACUAAAGGAUGAAAGAAAAACUGAUGAAACUGGAAACUUUCUAGUUGUUUCUUUUUUCGUGGUUGGUGAAAAUUAAUGGAACAUUUCAUCUAGUACUCAAGUAGUGUACUCAUGUCGAAGCGUGUAUUUAAAUUCUGUGAAAAUUUAAAUAUUACUUCAUGUUUGUGAUUUAAAAAUUCUGCCUCCAUAUCUUUUAAGCUAUUUCUUUCAGUUUGGAAAAAUGGGAUUUAAUUUGAGCAGUAUUUUCAUCGAUGGUUUUAAGUAUUUCACAUAUUUGUGAGUGUUAUAUUUUUUAUUUGCUGUUUUAUAUAUAGAUGUGAGAAGAAAGUAUUUGCAAACUUGUGUAUAGUGACGCAGAGAACAUUCUUGCUUUUCUCAUCACUCAGUAACUGUCAAAUUCUUUUGAUUAAAUGGAAAAAUCUCAAGCAGUAGAAUACUGUUUAACAUGACAUUCAGUAUAUGACUUGAUUACAUUGUUUUGAAUGCAAACAUCCUACUCCAAACAAUAAAAAUAAAAAAUAAAUUGAUGUAACUGGAAACAUUCUAGUUGUUUCUUUUUUCGUGGUCGGUGAAAAUAAAUGGAACAUUUCAUCUACUACUCUAGUACUGUAUUCAUGUCGAAGAGUGUAUUUAAAUUCUGUGAAAAUUUAUAUUAUUGCAUGUUUGUGAUUUAAAAAUUCUGCUUCCAUAUCUUCUAAGUUGUUUCUUUCAGUUUGGAAAAAUGGGAUUUAGUUUGAUCAGUAUUUUAAUCGAUGAUUUUAAGUAUUUCAUAUAUUUGUGGGUGUUAAAUUUUUUAUUUGCUGCUUUAUAUAUACAUCUAAGAAGAAAGUAUUUGCUGUCUUGUGUGCUAUUCACUUGUAUAUGCCACAGCUAAUGUACAUACACAGUUCUCAUGUUAAGAGAACUCUUUAAUUCAUUGUAAAUAUUCAUUUUUUUUAAUUUUUUAAUAAUACUUUGAGCUUUCAUUUCUCUAUUUUUCUUCUUUGUUAACGUAAUUUUUUUUCUACAAUCUAAGGAAAUUUAGAGUAAAUAUCGUUAGAUGAAUGUAAUCAUUUGAAAUAUUCAAAAUUUAAAUAUUAUAAAGAUUUUGUAAUUUAUCAAAUUUUAUAAAACUAUCCCAAUGGAAAUGUGUAGUUUUUGUGCAAAUUUCACUAUUAUUAUUUGUUUAUAUUUUAAAGAUACUUAAUAUUUCGAAUAAUUUUAUUGUUUUGUAAUUCAACAUAAUUUUAUGAUACCAUAAAAACGUCAAAGAUUUUUCUUCGACUCUAGUACUUUCAAUUUUACUAUUUGAUAAUUAAUUUUUCUAAUUUAAUCUUACUCAUUUGAUAAUUUAAAAAAUAGUUUAAUUUUUUUAGCCCUCAAUGCAUUGAUUCGACAGUAUCUUGCUUUGUUUGUAAGGAAAAUGAAUAGAAAUAAGUAUCCAUUCGAAUAUAUGUAUCUUAACACACAAAACAUUUUGAAUGUUUAUUCAAUACAUGCAUAUGUAUUUUCAUGCUUUAAAUAAACUGUUUA